rnacentral:lncRNA from 1 species
AUUUUUGUAGCCCCCUCUAUUUUCAAAGUGAGUUUAUGGCUCUUUAAAAUUAUAAAUUUGCUAUAAAUAGACAUCUUUUAGUCUAGCUAGCAGAGCCAGUGAAUUGCAAACUCUAAACCGUGCAUAGGCUUUAAAAGAAUAUAUAAAAAGUUAUAGAUAUGAAAGGAAAACUUGAACCACCGGCCAAUGACCCAAGAGUUGGCAAGAUAGCGUCGACAACGCUUCCUGGUGGAUAGGCAGCUUCUAGAAAAGCAGCAAGUCCCUCAACAUCUGCCAUCACUGCACUCAUGGAGGCAACAGUUAUGAAGACAACACAAGUAAUCUUAUCAUUUAUUUUUCAUUUUUGGGUUAGGCAAAUAACAACAAAGAGCUCUCCAAACAAUUUAUUGAAACUUUUUGUUGAAUCUACUUUUCCUCUGAAUAUAAAUUUUUUCAGUUACCGGAAAAAAUCGAUUUUUGGAGAAAUAUGAAAAGUGAAGAGACUUAGAUAUAAUGGAGGAAGUAUCGUCGGUAAAGAAGCAAUCACAUAGCCGGUGUUGAAAGGAUAUGUGCUGUUGAUAAGCCGCAAUGAAUAUGGCAAGUCCGCAAAUUUAAAAAUAAAAGUCAAUUUUCUACUUUAUUUACAAUUUUAAGUGACCACGGUGUUACUUUAAAAAUAUAAAGGGCCUUUCUGAUAAUUAGAUCGUUAAGUGUUUUUUUGAAAGUUUUAAAGUGAAUUUAUAUAUUUCGUCGUAUAAUUUCUGGAUCCCGUAAAAUCACACACCUACAUAUGCGAAGGGAAACCAUCAAUAAAGCACACGAAUCCAUAAAACGUGUUAAUGCAACCUUUUUGGAUGACUAUGAUGGAAGAAUAGGUAGUGAUGGUGGUCCAUUUUAUAAAGGGCAUAGAUAAAGUUGAAGUCUUUGUCAAAUAUUGAUGGGUGGCGAGCUUCCUUAUACCCUUUAAGGGGCGACAUUCCUAUCAUCUUAAUUUCUUUUAUUGGGAAUUUUCAUAAUCUAAUAAUUGAAUAAAUUUACUCAAUUAUUAUAAUAUUUAUUUUGAAAUCAUUAACAACGAUUCCAAUUCAAAAUAGUUUCUAUUCCGUUUGGUUUCUAAAUUUUUAAUUUUAUCUUGAAAAUUGGCCAGAUGAAAUAAGUUAAAUAAAGAAAAAAGAAAACCCUGCUUCUUUAUUUUCCUUUAUUUUUU